UUAGGCCUCGAUCUAACGGAAAAUGCUAACUCUAGGUAAGGGUUGCAAAGCCUUCAGCCUUAAGUUAGCGGGACGUGUUAGUGGACGAACUGGUCUAGGUCGUAGAGUAAAUUUUAUGACUCUGACCGGGUUGUCUCUAGCCCAUCACGUAGCGCUUCCGGACCAUGGUGUUGGGUUGGAUGGUCAGUCAUGUUCUUGUUUGAUUGUUGGCUGGCCGGUUGGCCUCUAAUCUCUAACACUUGGUUUGGGUCGUCCGUCGGUCAUGUUCUUGUUUGAUUGUUGGCCGGUGGGUCGACCUAUGCCUAGGACGGUUCGGGGGUGUUACAGAAUGUAGAAACCCGUUAAAAAAAAAACAAAAAACAAAAAAAAAGAAAAGAAAAAGAGAAUAGUCGAGUAUCUUUGUGGUGGUCAAGGCACGGUCAAUAAGGAUCGAUCGAGAACCUUCGAAGUAGAGGUGGGCGAAGAAGUGAUCGUUAGUGAACUAUGAUUCGAAUAAGUUGCUCAGCCAUAGUUAGAAGAAGUCUUAGAUUGUUUAGACGGACGUUUUGGAAGCAUAACAUUUUUUGAAGCACGACGGUUAGAAGCUCGACGUUUUGGAAGAAUGACGUUUCUUCAACACGAAUUUUCCCCGAAACUUCGUAUCAGCGGAAUAUUAUUUCGAAGACAUUGGAAACAUGAUGGGAAUUAAGCAUGACGGGAAGAACGCACGACGGGAUCGAAGAACGACGGGAAAACCCGAAAUUGGACGAAAAACCUAAUUUCGGUAUUAUGGAAGUUUUCAAUGAAGCCGAAGGAUC
rnacentral:lncRNA from 1 species